UAUAUACCCAGCUGUAGAAGGUGUGUGUAUGUGCAUGAGUCAUAUGGUUUACAUGUAAUAUUGCCACGCAGUCGACCUUUUUCUGGCCCGGAAUUUAUCUCCACCUCCACAUGCAGCUGAAUCAGAGCUGUUCAGCUCCGUCUUGUUUUCCUAAAAGGCAAACCCAUGAGGAAUACAGAGUUUAUGGGGUUGCUUGGGAAGAAGGGGAAGCUCUAUAGCUCUUCUGUCCCAAAGGAGUGCUUAUUGAGCCAGCAUUGUAAAAAAGAGAAAGGGAUGGAGAGAGAAAAAAAACAAGAUGAAAAGAUCGGGAAAGCUAUGAAUCAUGCAGACUGAACUAUUUCUCUCUCAUUGCAAGCAAAUGGUCCAACCCUAGACACAUAUACCUCUGCAAGGUCUGGUGUUGAUAUGUGCGCCACAGGAUUGUUUCCUAAACAGCACAAAGGUAGAUAUACAGUCCAAGAUUCACGUUAGCCUGGUGCGUUAGAGAAGCUCACUGCACAUCUCUUCUACAAUUUGUGACUCCUGAGUGGUGCAUCAGAAAAGCUUUUGCCCUAUCAUCAGGAAAUUGUGAGUUCGAAUUGAGUUCAAAUCACCAACUGUGGGCGUCUGUGAACUCAUAUAUGUGGAAAAGGGCAGAUAACACUUUCCCCUAGUGUGUUUUUCCACCUUGUGACACAACAUGAGCAGCAGUUCGAAAAGAUGCACUUAGCUGGCAUCGUGUGUGUGGGAGAAAGCACAUUUUAGGCAAAGAGGGUAACAGUUCAGAACAGAGAAAUGCUUUAGAGAAGCAUUUUGAAAAUCCACUGAUUUUACUACAGCCUCAGAAGUGCUCUGCUUGUACAGCUGACAAACUUGUAUGAAAUGUUCUGUUUCACUGGAAAUUUUGUGUACUAUGCUGAGCUUUUACCAUCUGUAUCAUUGUUACUGAGGCACACAUGCACACACAAACAUACACACACACUGAAAAUCUGGGAUUUUAAUUUUUUAAAUUAAAAAAAUUUAAAAUUUAAAAUUGGAAAUAAAUUGAUUUUAAGAUUUUCCGUCUGACUAAUCUCUUCUAUUGAAGCAUGUGUUCAGAUGACACUCUGAUGGAUUUGCUCUAAAAUGGAUCAUAAGGUUUUGCACAAACAUGUGGAGUCCACGUCAGCUUGAGAGCACACUGUCGUUAAAGCAAAAAGAGGAC